rfam:Nematostella vectensis strain CH2 x CH6 NEMVEscaffold_74_Cont10332, whole genome shotgun sequence.
GUUGGUUACGGUGACAUGCGACCACGAACAUUGGCGGGAAAACUUGUGGGCAGCGUUUGUGCCAUAAGCGGCGUUCUUAUGAUCGCGUUGCCUGUCUCUGUGGUUGCAAGUAAU